GUGGCGUCGUACUCCCGUUCGACUAAAAAUCUCAGGCUUGCCAUUUUAAAAUGGAUCCGUAUCGAGGUCAUCUCGGGAAAAUAAGCGCUGCCCGUCCCUGGGUGGGCUCGAACCACCAACCUUUCGGUUAACAGCCGAACGCGCUAACCGAUUGCGCCACAGAGACCCAGCUACCAGGCUCGCCGCGCGGAUUUAACCCAACCAGUAACCCUGACAGGAAGGAGGACACAUUCAAUUCAAUAAACCCAUAUACAGCAUCUACUUCUUCCUCCCGGCAUUGUCUCAGGGGUGGUCUGUGUGACCAACGGAACGUGGUGGAAGUGAUGGUGUGUGACUUCUAAGACUGUGCCACAGAAGAUGUUGCCACUUCCCUUGCUGUUCUGUGGACUGCCUGCUGUGGGGGAAGCUAGCUGCCUUGUGGUGACGACACCCAGCAGCCUAGGGAUAGACCCGCGUGGGGAAGGAACUGAAGCCUCCCGCCACGAGCCAGCGCCAACCUGCUCCUACUGUCUGUGUCAACCAGCCUUCUUGGAAGCUGAUCCGCUAGAACUGGGUCAGAGCUCCAGGUGACCCCAGUCCCAGCUGAUAUCCUGACUGGAACUUAGGCGAGACCUUGAGCUAGAACCGCUCAGCUAAGACGCUCCUGAAUUUCUGACCCACAGUGACUGAGAGACAGUAGGUGUUCUCUUGAUGCUUUAAGGCUUUGGUUUGGGGAGUCGUUUCAUAGACAGCAACAGACACACGUACAGAAACGAAGGCUUGGAGAAGAGUUUGGGAAGAGCCUUCGUUUUCAAGGCGCCAUACUUGUAUGCAAUGGGGGCGAUGUUUUUUUAAAGGCGUAAAAGAUGAUGAUGACUGUGAGGAUGUGUGUAACCCAAGCUGGCGAAAGGAGUGCCGGAGCAGGAAGAAAAUUUAAGAGGCCACCGCAGUCGUCCAGACGAGAGGUAACGAGAGAGCGGAAGCGGAGGCACCGCUGGGGGACCGGAGAAUGGCACGUCAACGCAGGGGGGUGAAGGCGAAGAAGUCAUGAAGGUGACUCCUGGGUUUUGAGCCCAGGAACACGGGGGAGCCAUGAUCUCAUUUACCCAAAGAGGAAACACAGAAGGGAGCCCGCGUGGGUAGGAGUCAAGAAGCGGGGUUGUCUAUCUCCUGGCGAGGAGAGCUCCCUGUGUCCAGAGCUCCGCGGAGGGCUGGCCACCAAGGCUCCUUCACAGAUCGGGCUGGUCGAGAAGCCUCUCCCUGAAGGACGAGGCUGUUCCAUUUCACGGCACAUCUUCCUCACUGCCAAGUGUUCCCUGGUGACAGCCUCUGCCAUCGAUAUUUUUAGCAUGUGGCCUUUCUGAGCCUGAAAAACAACAUCCACUUCCUGGAACUUCUCCUCCAGCUGACAGCCAGUGACCCCACGCGGGCGGGAGCUUCAGCUGGGCCUGACAGGCGACCGUCUGCCAAUCUGCUAGGGGAGAGGAAGGCAGGCCGCAAGUCGGGCACGAAGGCCUCCACCCCGCUCCCUUCUGUCCUGCUCUUGAGGCCUAACGACGUCAGUGCACGUCAGAAGCUGAAAAGUAAGGAAGCCUGUGAAUAAAGCCCAAGAGGCAGGAAGCUUCUCCUGCAAUUUCCUUCUAUGACAGCUGCAUCAAGUCUGAAGGUAAUACCUGGCCAGGUGACGUUAGAAAACCACCAGGACAUAAAUAUUGCUUUUAUAGUAAUCCUAGGACAGGCCUGCGUGAAAACCCCCUGGGACUCGUCACACGUGCUGUUGCAUCCCAUGGAGUCAGAUCUGAGGCCGAACCACAAAAGCAUCGAGAGAAACGUGAGAGAGGGUGAGGGGUUUCCCCGAUGGGGUCUGCAGCCCCGGGCCAAGGCUGGGGGCGGGGGGGGGGGCCGGCGAGAACCCACCGGACUGUUCCCCAGAGUUGUAAGAGUUCUCUGCCAGAAUUUUAGAACUUGUGCUUUUUAUAGUUUAUGAGCGUCUAAACGGGUUGGAAUAAGCAUAUUCGGUGCUGAUUGACCCCUUAUGUAGGAGUACUACCUCGCCCCUCAGGACCCAUAUCCACAAAUGUGUUUUGAUGCUAAGUGGCAUUUUAUUUUAUUUUAUUUUAUCAUUUUUUAAAAGUUUGUU